UACGUAGGGUGCGAGCGUUAAUCGGAUUUACUGGGCGUAAAGCGUGCGCAGGCGGCUCGUUAAGACAGGUGUGAAAUCCCCGGGCUCAACCUGGGAAGUGCGCUUGAGACUGGCGGGCUCGAGUAUGGUAGAGGGGGGUGGAAUUCCUGGUGUAGCGGUGAAAUGCGUAGAGAUCUGGAGGAACACCGGUGGCGAAGGCAGCCCCCUGGGCGGGUACUGACGCUCAGGCACGAAAGCGUGGGGAGCAAACAGG
rnacentral:rRNA from 1 species